AAGUUAUUUUUAACACCUACAAGUUUAAAACGGUAGGUUAUUCAUAUAAAUCUUGCAAUUGAUUAAUGUAAAUAUCACCAUUUAUACAGAUUCGUACUUUAAGAAAAAAUGUGAAAUUGAUUUGAUUGACUGAGGGAUCAUUGGUUAAUGUCCAGUGGGUUGUAUUUUAUACAAAUUGAGGACGUCAUGAUGGGUUUAUAUUUUUUGCGGAAUGUACUUCACUAGAGCGAGACACUACACAAGUCAAAUAUUUAUAUACUAUCGCACAAGGGAAUAUUGCACUGGAACACGUCUAGGGCUGAUAAACUGAUGAAUUAGGAAGUCAUAACAGUGGAUUACAAGUGGAAAUACAAGAAAGCCAGCACGAGUGAAUGAUGUUCGAAUUUUUUUCAUUCAACUUUUCUGAAAGUUUCGUUGAAAAUGUUCAUCUCUCCUGCAUAUUACUUUUUCUGGUUUUGGGAAUGCUCAUACUUAUAUUAUUUCUAUCGACAUUCUUGAAGUAUGACCACACAAAUUCACAUAGUUUAUUCCUCGCUUUGUUUAUCGGAUUCGUUCAUCAAAGUUUUGUGUCAAUGCACUGGUUAAAAUCAACAUAUCAUAUCAAUGUUAUUACUGAGUUCGUCUUCGAUUGGUACACGUUUCCUGUUGCCUGUUUUAUAUUGUCGUUUGGAGUGAUGUGCAUGACUGAAAUUUCAAAAGAGGAGUUGAGAACAAAAAUAUUUCAAAAUGUAGUUUUUAUUUCAACGGUUUUGUUGCUAGUUUUUGGAAUUGGUGUUUACGGUUUCAAUAACCAAGAUGCGAAUUAUAGCCAAGUAAAGUUUAACAAACCUGGAUUAGGCAAUAUGAUAACAAUCGUGAGUUAUGCUUUAGAAUAUAUGUUAGUUUAUGCUCCACUUACUGUGAUCCUGCUCUGGAACAUGAAGGGAUGUGUUCUCGUUAAAGAUAAAAAAGGUGAACAUCACGACGAGCAGUGUAUGACGUGUGACAAUAAUAUCAUGGUACAACGACAUAUCUUAAUAUUUAUGAUGUUUGUGAUUUGGAUCGUUAGACCAUGUUUUUGGAUUAUAAACUCUCAUUUCAAUGUAAUUACACAAGAUUUUAUUCCUAGUAUGACAGUGUGUAUGGUUUAUAUUUAUAUACUUUGGGAUUUUGGUAUAUAUCAAUUAAGGGACUUCUUAUGUAGGAUGUCAUAGUUGUUAAAACAGAUUCAGAAUUUUGUUAAAGCCAUAAAAACAACAUUGUUUUCUUUAUUUAUACAUUUUUACAUUCAAGAAAAAAAGUAAAGAAAUCUUAUCAGGUA